GGUUAAUUCUACUUUCUAAUUUCUAGUCCUCCGUUUGAAUUUGUAGAAAAUAACUAUGAAAGCUCAUAGAGACGAAACGAUACUAAUGUGUUGCUUUGAAUGAACGCGGAAGGAUAAAAAAGUAUUUACAAGAAAACAAUCGGUAACUUUCUCAAAUAGAUUUUCUACUAAACCGUAAUUCAGUAUCGAUGUCCUGUUGAUCUAAACCAACCUACGCAAUUUCGUUCCUCUAAACAGAAAAAAGCGGGCUCAAAAAGCCAGCUUUAAAACCAAAAGUGAUUCCCUUUGAUACUGUAAAUAAUACAAAAGAAUCUAUUGCUUUGCUAUUAAAAUCUAAAAUUAUUCAAACAAGGAAAAAAUAAAACCCAAUUAUUUUGGCUCGCUUUUUCUAGUUUGCAACAUGGUUUGACCUAUAGAUUGAUACAUUUUAAGUUAUCCAUGGUAUUUCCAUCUACUCCAACGACAAGUUACUGGGUAUAGAGAGCCAAAGUCUUCUUCACCAAUUUCUUCUCCCAUUUGUCUUUCAAAUCCGGCGGCGUCCAUUCCCUUUUCAAACACACCUAUUUCUUCCAAAUGUGUUUCGCGAAGUGGAUACUCUGUGAUAACAAUCCCGUCCUUAGCUAAAUAUUUACGAAACAGUGCAAUGGCUAACUCGCCGAAAUGAGUUUCAUAGAUACAAUCACUUGCUAUAAUCCGUUGAAAUGGUUUAAUAAGCCAUGAUGGUCGGUUAUCAUCAUCUGGGGGAUUCAUCCAAUCUAAUACAUGACAGCUUACUGAACCCGCAUAUUGCUGGAUAAGUUCAGAAUUGUAAUCAACGUUAUACUGCAUAUUUUCUACUAUAUCUGGUAGAUCUGUACAUACAACUUGCCAUCCUAAUUGAAUGGCUGCACUAAUGCCAACAAGCCCAGUCCCAGCCCCUAAUUCUAGCGCGUUAAUGGAAUUACUCAAAUCUUCCCAUUUGGGAAGAUUUGCUGAAAGCAAGGGAGCAGACCCCCAUGUUUUAAAUCCUAAAGUAUUAUAGGUCAUAGUGGGCUCUCGAAGAACUACAGAAACACCAUUUGAAAGGGAAAAUUCCCUCUUCCUAGUAGGAGCUGCAAGUCUACCACUACGCUCUGCAAUUCGUUCACAAAUCGUGCUAACCAAAUAGUCUCGUUCCUCUUCAACUGUGAUCCAUUCCAAAUUUGUAGCUAAGAGCUUGAUAAGCCAAUUGAGGAUUAUUUUCUCCUCAUACUUAGGAAGGUCCCACAAGUGCUCCCCAGUAGGAAUUUUGUCCAAAACAUCUUUAAUUUGAGAGUAAGAAGGCUGUUCGUGACUUAAAGGUAGAUCCGUGUCUUCUAAAAUCAUUGUGAUUUUUUUAAAAUACCCAAAACCAGAGACGAAAAAGCAAAAACAAAAGAAAUCCCAAAGACCCAAAAAAGACAGGAGUCAACCUGUUUUCCUUUGCAAACCAGCUAAAUUUUAAACAAAUGAGAAUCCCAAUUAACUACCUAUGUGAGAGUAUGCGUGAGAGACAUACUAUGAUUAAGUAUGGAUAAAACGAAAUUUCUCUCUUUACCAUCCAUGAGUCCAACUUUUCAAAUUAGAUCAAAGCUAGGUAACAUGUACCUCGCAGGAGUGAAAUCACGGUGUUGAUCAAAAAGCAAGAAGCAAUUUAAAAGCACUGGUUAUUAAAGCAUCUAAUUUCUCAAUUUCAUUCUCACUCAACCGCCUAUCCCAAAAAUACAACUCAAUUCCAAUGGAUGUAUGUCUUUUCCAGACCGCGUUGUCUACACUGCGUGAAAAAAAGGAAUAAUGAGGAAUAUUGUGUCCCUAUAUGCAAAUGCAAUAGCCUUCUCAAUGUACAAUACGAAAAUGUAAUAUAUAUUUUGUUAUUUAUUUUACCAAAGUUCUUUUGACUUUCGUUAAAAAGUAUACUGAAAGAGAAAGAGCUAAUAAAUUGGCUAAGCAAGCAAUGUGCACAACCGUUCUAUUUAGAUAAGCUGACCUACGUAAUGCACAUGGCGAAUGCUAUAUAAACCAGCCUUUUCCCCUUUGCGCUCAAUUCCUUCUUAUCUGU